AACGAACGCUGGCGGCAUGCCUAACACAUGCAAGUCGAACGAUGCCUCCGGGCAUAGUGGCGCACGGGUGCGUAACGCGUGGGAAUCUGCCCUUGGGUUCGGAAUAACUCGCCGAAAGGCGAGCUAAUACCGGAUGAUGACGUAAGUCCAAAGAUUUAUCGCCCAAGGAUGAGCCCGCGUAGGAUUAGCUAGUUGGUGGGGUAAAGGCCCACCAAGGCGACGAUCCUUAGCUGGUCUGAGAGGAUGAUCAGCCACACUGGGACUGAGACACGGCCCAGACUCCUACGGGAGGCAGCAGUGGGGAAUAUUGGACACUGGGCGAAAGCCUGAUCCAGCAAUGCCGCGUGAGUGAUGAAGGCCUUAGGGUUGUAAAGCUCUUUUACCCGGGAUGAUAAUGACAGUACCGGGAGAAUAAGCUCCGGCUAACUCCGUG
rnacentral:rRNA from 1 species